GUGCUCGCUUCAGCCGCAUAUAGUAAAGCUGGAAUGAUGCAGAGAAGAUUUGUAUGGGCCCUGCAAAAGGAUGACAUGCAAAUUCAUGAAGCAUUCUAGUUUUAA
ensembl:snRNA U6 U6 spliceosomal RNA